CUACGGGAUGCAGCAGUAAGGAAUAUUGCGCAAUGGAGGCAACUCUGACGCAGCCAUGCCGCGUGCAGGAAGAAGGCCUUAUGGGUCGUAAACUGCUUUUAUUUAGGAAUAAACCCCCGAACGUGUUCGGGGCUGAAGGUACUAAACGAAUAAGCACCGGCUAACUCCGUGCCAGCAGCCGCGGUAAUACGGAGGGUGCAAGCGUUAUCCGGAUUUAUUGGGUUUAAAGGGUGCGCAGGCGGGCUAUUAAGUCAGUGGGGAAAUCCCGGGGCUCAACUCCGGAACUGCCAUUGAUACUGAUAGUCUUGAGUUUGGUUGAAGUGGGCGGAAUGUAGCAUGUAGCGGUGAAAUGCAUAGAUAUGCUACAGAACACCAAUCGCGAAGGCAGCUCACUAAGCCAAAACUGACGCUCAUGCACGAAAGCGUGGGGAUCAAACAGGAUUAGAUACCCAGUAGUC
rnacentral:rRNA from 1 species